GUCGACAACACAAUCGUUGAGGUGGACAGGAUCGGCGGUUUUC
rnacentral:sRNA from 1 species